AAGUCGUAACAAGGUUUCCGUAGGUGAACCUGCGGAAGGAUCAUUAACACGUUUUAGUUCCAAACGUUUUCUGACCCAUUCAUUUUCCGUGCACCAAUAUACAACCGGCCUCCUGACCUCUCCUCUCAGUUUAUUCUGUCUGUUGAUUGUGCCAGGCGUCAUUGGGGUAACAUAGGAUCUUGUUGACUUUUGAAAAUGAAAAGUUUGCGCUUAGUAAUUUUGAAAAACAAUGAGAGCCUCCUGAUUGACGUUGCCAACUCACCCAACCCUUAAAUCUAAUUGCUCUAAACUCUUAGUUGUUUGAAGUGAUGACCUUUUUUAAAAAAAGGCUUAUCAUUUUUUCAACGAUCUUAAAACAAAUAACAACUCUUAACAACGGAUAUCUUGGUUCUC
rnacentral:misc_RNA from 1 species